GUGGGGAAUUUUGGACAAUGGGCGCAAGCCUGAUCCAGCUAUUCCGCGUGUGGGAUGAAGGCCCUCGGGUUGUAAACCACUUUUGUAGAGAACGAAAAGACACCUUCGAAUAAAGGGUGUUGCUGACGGUACUCUAAGAAUAAGCACCGGCUAACUACGUGCCAGCAGCCGCGGUAAUACGUAGGGUGCGAGCGUUAAUCGGAAUUACUGGGCGUAAAGGGUGCGCAGGCGGUUGAGUAAGACAGAUGUGAAAUCCCCGAGCUUAACUCGGGAAUGGCAUAUGUGACUGCUCGACUAGAGUGUGUCAGAGGGAGGUGGAAUUCCACGUGUAGCAGUGAAAUGCGUAGAUAUGUGGAAGAACACCGAUGGCGAAGGCAGCCUCCUGGGACAUAACUGACGCUCAGGCACGAAAGCGUGGGGAGCAAACAGGAUUAGAUACCCCUGUAGUCC
rnacentral:rRNA from 1 species